rnacentral:rRNA from 1 species
UACGUAGGAGGCAAGCGUUGUCCGGAAUUACUGGGUGUAAAGCGCGUGUAGGUGGUGGGCCAAGUCUGUGGUGAAAUCGCCCGGCUCAACUGGGCGAGGUCCGUGGAAACUGGUCGACUGGAGGACGGUAGAGGCGAGUGGAAUUCCCGGUGUAGUGGUGAAAUGCGUAGAGAUCGGGAGGAACACCAGUGGCGAAGGCGGCUCGCUGGGCCGGUCCUGACACUGAGGCGCGAAAGCGUGGGGAGCGAACCGG